AACGAACGCUGGCGGCAUGCCUAACACAUGCAAGUCGAACGAGACCUUCGGGUCUAGUGGCGCACGGGUGCGUAACGCGUGGGAACCUGCCCUUAGGUUCGGAAUAACUCCCCGAAAGGGGUGCUAAUACCGGAUAAUGUCUUCGGACCAAAGAUUUAUCGCCUUUGGAUGGGCCCGCGUUGGAUUAGCUAGUUGGUAGGGUAAAAGCCUACCAAGGCGACGAUCCAUAGCUGGUCGGAGAGGAUGAUCAGCCACACUGGGACUGAGACACGGCCCAGACUCCUACGGGAGGCAGCAGUGGGGAAUAUUGGACAAGGGGCGAAAGCCUGAUACAGCAAUGCCGCGUGAGUGAUGAAGGCCUUAGGGUUGUAAAGCUCUUUUACCCGGGAUGAUAAUGACAGUACCGGGAGAAUAAGCUCCGGCUAACUACGUG
rnacentral:rRNA from 1 species